rnacentral:rRNA from 1 species
GACGAACGUUGGCGGCGUGCUUAACACAUGCAAGUCGAACGGUAAGGCCCUUCGGGGUACACGAGUGGCGAACGGGUGAGUAACACGUGGGUGAUCUGCCCUGCACUUCGGGAUAAGCCUGGGAAACUGGGUCUAAUACCGGAUAGGACCACUGCCUGCAUGGGUGGUGGUGGAAAGCUUUUGCGGUGUGGGAUGGGCCCGCGGCCUAUCAGCUUGUUGGUGGGGUGAUGGCCUACCAAGGCGACGACGGGUAGCCGGCCUGAGAGGGUGACCGGCCACACUGGGACUGAGAUACGGCCCAGACGCGUACGGGAGGCAGCAGUGGGGAAUAUUGCACAAUGGGCGCAAGCCUGAUGCAGCGACGCCGCGUGAGGGAUGACGGCCUUCGGGUUGUAAACCUCUUUCAGCACCGACGAAGCGCAAGUGACGGUAGGUGCAGAAGAAGGACCGGCCAACUACGUGCCAGCCGCCGCCGUAA